rnacentral:lncRNA from 1 species
GUCACAGAAGGGGGUGAGAAGUGGGAAGAGGGGAUUUGCAUAGAACCUCCAAUUUUCCUUAUUUCCUAGGGAGUUGAUGAUUUCAGCCAAAUAUAAGUCUUAACGUUACAUCUGCAAUGGAAAAACAAGUCAAACUCAGCAAAAAGGAGCCCUGAAGAGACAGAGUUAAGUGCUUCCGUGAUGAGAGUAGAGUUGGCCUAUGCUGUCCCUCCCAGGACUCCUUUACCCAAGAGAAAGAGAGAGUGUGCAUCCAAAGGGGAGUGAAAAUAGAAUAUAAAUAGGGAAAAUAGAACCAUUCAGAGCAGUUCAGGGAUCUUUACUACUCUGACAUGGAAGGAAGAAGGAGGAGAAGAGAAAAGAUGAACGGACCUUGAACCUGGGAUAUCGCUCAUGUGACUGCUACAUUGGUAUUAAGAUACAGCAUUCAUGUGCCCUGGAAUGUUUUGUUCUAUUAGGUGCUACACCCAGUAGAACAGUGCUCCAUCCAAUGCAAUUUUCUGGAAUUUAAACAAUCCAGACCAGAAUUUUUCCUCCUUGGAGAUGGAAUGUCUUGCUCCAGAGGGAGGAGGAAGAAGAGAAAAGAGAAGUCUCAACCAGCCUCCUCUCUACCCCACACAGAGAAUAGAGAUGCAAAACUUCUCCCAUAGAGUGUUUCAGCUUCUUCCUCGUUCCUCUUGCUUCUUUUCUCUUGGGAUAAUGACUUGGGUUUGGCCAGUAUGUAAAGUUGACUUGUGGUACCUCUGGCUCUUCUCCAGGGGUGCUCACAGAAAUAACUACAGUGGACUAGAAUGAGAUGCUUGAAACCUUCCCCCGAGCCUAGCUCUGCAUUUAGGAGAACAGCACAGCGCACCAUGAUCUGAUAUAGGUAUAGGUGGGUGGGAGUCUCAGUCUGUAGUUCUAUAUCACCUAUUAAGAGACUGGAACCUGGUCCCAUGUUUUCUGCAGGAGGUUGAGCUCUUAACAAUGUGCCAAGCCAGCAGCUGUGCCCUAGAGUCUUGGCCUAAGACAAGCAAAUAAUUGUCAGAUGACUGAAUAGUUCUGUUUCCUUAUUAAAUCUUAGGUUUAGAAUUCCUUUCACAAUUAAAAAGAUUUGGACAACAACUUUAUAGGGCCAAUUCUUUUUAUUCCAGGUUAUCACAACAUCCUCAAAGAAAAAUGCAUCAUGAAUGGUCUUCAUACCAUCUAACAGAUCCAGUUUACCCUCAUUCCUGUGGCUUUGUUCUGGCUGCUACCUUCACUUGGCAUAUUUCUCCUCCCCUUCACCCUUCAAACCAUGUUUUCUUUCAAGGUCCCCUCAACCCUAAUGUGCACUGUGUCUUUCUGUCCACUCAAGUCCUGGCUGAUCUCUCCCUAUUCACACUUAUGCCACUAUUCUUUUCAGCUCUACCCAUGUGGCGCUUGCCAGAUGAUGUUACCUUUUUUGCUUUGGGAAUUUUGCUUUCCCAACUACAGCACAAGUAGGAGUGGUGUCUUGUAGUACUUUGUGUCUUUCUUCAUGUUUCAGAUGAGUGUUUUCCAUAGAGUGGAGCUCAAUUCCUAUUUCAGAUUUGAGCCAUCAAUGCUGGGCAAUUUCUUCCCAGGUAAAAUGAAGGCAAUACUAAAAUCUACCUCCAGAUGGGACUGUGAGGACCAGAUGAGAUGCUGUUUUAAAGCCCCGAGACCCCAGCACACAGUAGGUCUUCAAUAGAAUUUCUGCAUCUCUGGAGAUCUAUGGGAUGGCUCUGGGCUCCAGAUUGCAGCGAUCACUGUGGAGCAGCAACCAUCUCUCCAUCCUGGCUCCAUUGAGCUUCUGCUUCUGUCAUAUCUGCGCUCCCCAUUGGCACUGCCCGCCUGGCGCUCACCCAGUCUGGUCUGACACUUGCUGCUGAGGAUGGGGCGGGGACCCAGGCAGGCUUCCAAUUCUUUCAUGAGCUGGGUGCUGCCUGAAGCCAGUGAACUGUGAAGCCCUGUUGUAAAGGCUUCAGAGGGCCCCAGCAUGGCGGGGUGGGGGCACCGAGCCACGG